UUUGCGUUUUUGUAGAGACAGGGUUUCACCAUGUUAGCCAGGAUGGUCUCGAUCUUCUGACCUUGUGAUCCACCCGCCUUGGCCUCCCAAAGUGCUGGGAUUACAGGUGUGAGCCACCGCGCCCGGCCAAGCACCCUCUGCAAUUAUCUCUCGUGAAUGAACGAUUACCGAUCCCAGUCUCACACCCACGCAGACACCCUGGAUGAUCCAAGAACGGACCCCAGGUGCUCACAGAUGUGCAGGGAGUCCCAGGCCCACCACUUCCUAACUGUGCGGCCCUAGGCAAACUACUGCAAGUCCCAGCCUCAGCUCCCUCAUCUGUAAAAUGGGUAUAACACUGGUCCCCACUUCGCCAGGGUGCUGGGAGUCUUCACUGAGAUACUGUGCAUGGAGUCCUCGGUGGAGGGCCUCAGGCAAUAAACCGUAGCUUAUUAUAUUAAGGUGUGGAGCCAUGGAAAACAGCGUUUGGCUGGGCGUGGUGGCUUAUGCCUGUAAUCCCAGCACUCUGGGAGGCCGAGGCAAGCGGAUCACAAGAUCAGGAGAUCAAGACCAUCUUGUCUAAC
rnacentral:lncRNA from 10 species